GCCUUCGUGGUGUAGUGGUCAGCACACUGAGCCGGUAUUUCAGAGGUCCGUGGUUCGAUUCCCGGAGAAGGCC
rnacentral:tRNA from 1 species